rnacentral:rRNA from 1 species
GGUGAAGCGGGGCGGACAGCCGGGGGAAUAAGGGGGGGGCAAGUGUUAAUGGGGAUUACGUGGCGUAAAGCGGAGGCAGGCGGUUGAUUAAGGUAGAUGUGGAAUCCCCGGGCUUAACCUGGGAAUGGCAUCUAAGACGGGUCAGCUAGAGUCUUGUAGAGGGGGGUAGAAUUGCAUGUGGAGCGGUGAAAUGCGGAGAGAUGUGGAGGAAUACCGGUGGCGAAGGCGGCCCCCUGGACAAAGACUGACGCUCAGGUGCGAAAGCGUGGGGAGCAAACAGGAUUAGAUACCCGGGUAGUC